rnacentral:rRNA from 1 species
GAUGAACGCUAGCGGCGGGCUUAAUACGUGCAAGUCAAGGGGUAGCAAUACACCGGCGUACGGGUGCGUAACGCGUAUGGAACCUGCCCUUAUCUGGGGGAUAACUCGGGGAAACUCGAGCUAAUACCGCAUAAGAUAGUAGAGAGGCAUCUCUUAGCUAUUAAAGAUUUAUCGGAUAAGGAUGGCCAUGCGUAAGAUUAGAUAGUUGGCGAGGUAACGGCUCACCAAGUCUACGAUCUUUAGGGGCUCUGAGAGGAGAAUCCCCCACACUGGCACUGAGAUACGGGCCAGACUCCUACGGGAGGCAGCAGUAGGGAAUAUUGGGCAAUGGGCGGAAGCCUGACCCAGCCACGCCGCGUGCAGGAAGACGGCCCUCUGGGUUGUAAACUGCUUUUAACUGGGAAGAAAGCAGCUCAUGCGUGAGAAUUUGACGGUACCAGUUGAAUAAGCCACGGCUAACUACGUGCCAGCAGCCGCCGUAAUAC